rnacentral:tRNA from 1 species
GAGGUGUUAGUAAAACAAUUACAUAGCUUUGUCAAGGCUAAAUUACAGGUUAAACCCCAGUACACCUCA